CGCGGUCGCGGUGCGAGGGCUCUCCGGGUGCUGGUGCGAGUGCGCCUGUUUGCCCGGCCACCUGCACGGGCUGCCCGGCUGCCCCGGCGGGUCCACGACGUCUCCGCAGCCGCCUGCCACGGGCCGCGUGUCGCCGUGCACUUGCAAGAAGUCGGGAAGUUCACGGUAUCGCAGUCUCUCAGGUUUGCGUGUCAGAACUCUGCUGCUCAGUAUGCACCCAAGAGAAAUGAAAACAUUUGUCCACACAAAGACUUGUGCACAGACGUUCACAGCCCCAAAUUAGAAAGACCCCAAAUAUUUAUUCACAGGAGGAUAAUAAUAGCAGGAACCACAACAGUACUGAGAAU